rnacentral:rRNA from 1 species
UACGUAGGGGGCUAGCGUUGUCCGGAAUCAUUGGGCGUAAAGAGCUUGUAGGCGGUUUGUCGCGUCUGCUGUGAAAUUUCGGGGCUCAACCCCGAACUUGCAGUGGGUACGGGCAGACUAGAGUGUGGUAGGGGAGACUGGAAUUCCUGGUGUAGCGGUGAAAUGCGCAGAUAUCAGGAAGAACACCAAUGGCGAAGGCAGCUCUCUGGGACGGUACUGACGCUGAGACGCGAAAGCGUGGGGAGCGAACAGG